CAUUGUGUUGUGUCAAUGCGGUGUGUAUACUGUGCGUGUAAUUAGAAUCUGCCGAAACAAUCGUUGUGGGUACGGCCGAGGCAGGUUGGGUAGUUGGCAGUGGUUAUCCGCUAUUUAGCCGCAAGGUGUUAGUACGCGGUCACUGGCUACUGUUGAUUACUACCUGUUAGUGAUAUGCGUUUCUGGGGGGUUCACACGCCUCAGAAAUGGAACCGCACUUAUGACUCGGUGUGUAAAAAUUCGUCCAUGAUGAUUGAGAAUUAGCGUUGUUGAAACGGUGCUGGGUACUUUUCUCUGAAAAAGGGAAAAGUUUAGUGUACAUGAAAUGUGACAUGUCCGUUCUGCUACCGGCUCGGUUGUUCACACAAUACAUUUUGUACUUGUGCAGGGUGCCUUUGUGUGGGGGCUGAGUUGGGUCUGUUGACUCAGGUUGGCAGACUAGUCAGUGAUGCUCAUACUGUGCGGGGCAGCGUGUAUGUUUCUGGUUUCUUUUAAUCAGGGAUGUGUGUGUUGUUUCAGUUGUGAGUGUGACCCCGUUAAAGUUACCUGUGGGUAAACGUGAUUUAUCACGGCCAUUGUUCGCUGACAGUGGAACGAUAUACGCAUAUCACCGUAGCUAGAUGUGUACAUGUGUGCGAGUUUUGCGUGGUCUAGGCCACGUGAAUCUGUAAACUCAGCUAAUUUUCGGCGAGACACCAAUCCAUCCGACCCGUCUUGAAACACGGACCAAGGAGCCUAACAUAUGCGCGAGUCAAAGGGUGAUUGAAACCCAUAGUAUCUUUAUGAUGCCGGCCGUUGGUAUGCUCUUCCAUAUUGACAGGGUACCAGCGGUGGAGAGUGAUAAGGCGUAAUGAAAGUGACCGCCAGUUGUGGUGAUGAGAUGGGAUCCCGUUUUGUUCUCCUUGUGAGAGCGAGCACAAUGUCGUGUUGUGAUAACGGGCGCACCGUCAGCCGGUCUGC
rnacentral:rRNA from 1 species